GGGGAUGAUUGGCUUCGACAGGGAGAUCGAUGCAUAUACAUGCAUGGCGGAAGUGGGAACCUUCCUAAAAAAUCCCAAACUCUAAGUGCAAACAAAACUGCACGGGGGGUUCUUUCUCCGAUUCAGGCGAAAGACCUCGGCCUCGUCUUCGCGUAAGCCUGGACGACCGUUCGUUUGGCUGGUAUCCGAUACACCAACGCGAGCGUCAUAACCAUCGGGUCCGAUCCUUAGUCCACUCCGGCUAAGGACCUAAAGAAAGAGAGUCCGAUACUGUACGAUCUUGUGCGUUCUUAACGUACAGUAUUCAAAACAAUCGAAUGCUCUACGCCACGUAGAUGUGUGUAUGUGUUUCUUUCUGGACGGGAGUUUCGAUGCUCCCCAUCUCCAUAU
rnacentral:tmRNA from 1 species